AUGAACGCUGGCGGCGUGCCUAAUACAUGCCAGUCGAGCGAACAGACGAGGAGCUUGCUUCUCUGACGUUAGCGGCGGACGGGUGAGUAACACGUGGAUAACCUACCUAUAAGACUGGGAUAACUUCGGGAAACCGGAGCUAAUACCGGAUAAUAUAUUCAACCGCAUGUUUCAAUAGUGAAAGACGGUUUUGCUGUCACUUAUAGAUGUAUCCGCGCCGCAUUAGCUAGUUGGUAAGGUAACGGCUUACCAAGGCAACGAGGCGUAGCCGACCUGAAAGGGUGAUCGGACACACUGGAACUGAGACACGGUACAGACUCCGACGGGAGGAAGCAGUAGGGAAUCUUACGCAAUGGGCGAAAGCCUGACGGAGCAAAGCCGCGUGAGUGAUGAAGGUCUUAGGAUCGUAAAACUCUGUUAUUAGGGAAGAACAAAUGUGUAAGUAACUAUGCACGUCUUGACGGUACCUAAUCAGAAAGCCACGGCUAACUACGUG
rnacentral:rRNA from 1 species